rnacentral:rRNA from 1 species
UACAGAGGGGGCAAGCGUUGUUCGGAAUUACUGGGCGUAAAGGGCGCGUAGGCGGCCUUCUAAGUCGAACGUGAAAUCCCCGGGCUCAACCCGGGAACUGCGUCCGAUACUGGCAGGCUUGAAUCCGGGAGAGGGAUGCGGAAUUCCAGGUGUAGCGGUGAAAUGCGUAGAUAUCUGGAGGAACACCGGUGGCGAAGGCGGCAUCCUGGACCGGCAUUGACGCUGAGGCGCGAAAGCCAGGGGAGCGAACGGG